AGCGUACACGGUGGAUGCCCUGGCAGUCAGAGGCGAUGAAGGACGUGCUAAUCUGCGAUAAGCGUCGGUAAGGUGAUAUGAACCGUUAUAACCGGCGAUUUCCGAAUGGGGAAACCCAGUGUGUUUCGACACACUAUCAUUAACUGAAUCCAUAGGUUAAUGAGGCGAACCGGGGGAACUGAAACAUCUAAGUACCCCGAGGAAAAGAAAUCAACCGAGAUUCCCCCAGUAGCGGCGAGCGAACGGGGAGCAGCCCAGAGCCUGAAUCAGUGUGUGUGUUAGUGGAAGCGUCUGGAAAGGCGCGCGAUACAGGGUGACAGCCCCGUACACAAAAAUGCACAUGCUGUGAGCUCGAUGAGUAGGGCGGGACACGUGGUAUCCUGUCUGAAUAUGGGGGGACCAUCCUCCAAGGCUAAAUACUCCUGACUGACCGAUAGUGAACCAGUACCGUGAGGGAAAGGCGAAAAGAACCCCGGCGAGGGGAGUGAAAAAGAACCUGAAACCGUGUACGUACAAGCAGUGGGAGCACGCUUAGGCGUGUGACUGCGUACCUUUUGUAUAAUGGGUCAGCGACUUAUAUUCUGUAGCAAGGUUAACCGAAUAGGGGAGCCGAAGGGAAACCGAGUCUUAACUGGGCGUUAAGUUGCAGGGUAUAGACCCGAAACCCGGUGAUCUAGCCAUGGGCAGGUUGAAGGUUGGGUAACACUAACUGGAGGACCGAACCGACUAAUGUUGAAAAAUUAGCGGAUGACUUGUGGCUGGGGGUGAAAGGCCAAUCAAACCGGGAGAUAGCUGGUUCUCCCCGAAAGCUAUUUAGGUAGCGCCUCGUGAAUUCAUCUCCGGGGGUAGAGCACUGUUUCGGCAAGGGGGUCAUCCCGACUUACCAACCCGAUGCAAACUGCGAAUACCGGAGAAUGUUAUCACGGGAGACACACGGCGGGUGCUAACGUCCGUCGUGAAGAGGGAAACAACCCAGACCGCCAGCUAAGGUCCCAAAGUCAUGGUUAAGUGGGAAACGAUGUGGGAAGGCCCAGACAGCCAGGAUGUUGGCUUAGAAGCAGCCAUCAUUUAAAGAAAGCGUAAUAGCUCACUGGUCGAGUCGGCCUGCGCGGAAGAUGUAACGGGGCUAAACCAUGCACCGAAGCUGCGGCAGCGACACUAUGUGUUGUUGGGUAGGGGAGCGUUCUGUAAGCCUGUGAAGGUGUACUGUGAGGUAUGCUGGAGGUAUCAGAAGUGCGAAUGCUGACAUAAGUAACGAUAAAGCGGGUGAAAAGCCCGCUCGCCGGAAGACCAAGGGUUCCUGUCCAACGUUAAUCGGGGCAGGGUGAGUCGACCCCUAAGGCGAGGCCGAAAGGCGUAGUCGAUGGGAAACAGGUUAAUAUUCCUGUACUUGGUGUUACUGCGAAGGGGGGACGGAGAAGGCUAUGUUGGCCGGGCGACGGUUGUCCCGGUUUAAGCGUGUAGGCUGGUUUUCCAGGCAAAUCCGGAAAAUCAAGGCUGAGGCGUGAUGACGAGGCACUACGGUGCUGAAGCAACAAAUGCCCUGCUUCCAGGAAAAGCCUCUAAGCAUCAGGUAACAUCAAAUCGUACCCCAAACCGACACAGGUGGUCAGGUAGAGAAUACCAAGGCGCUUGAGAGAACUCGGGUGAAGGAACUAGGCAAAAUGGUGCCGUAACUUCGGGAGAAGGCACGCUGAUAUGUAGGUGAAGCGACUUGCUCGUGGAGCUGAAAUCAGUCGAAGAUACCAGCUGGCUGCAACUGUUUAUUAAAAACACAGCACUGUGCAAACACGAAAGUGGACGUAUACGGUGUGACGCCUGCCCGGUGCCGGAAGGUUAAUUGAUGGGGUUAGCGCAAGCGAAGCUCUUGAUCGAAGCCCCGGUAAACGGCGGCCGUAACUAUAACGGUCCUAAGGUAGCGAAAUUCCUUGUCGGGUAAGUUCCGACCUGCACGAAUGGCGUAAUGAUGGCCAGGCUGUCUCCACCCGAGACUCAGUGAAAUUGAACUCGCUGUGAAGAUGCAGUGUACCCGCGGCAAGACGGAAAGACCCCGUGAACCUUUACUAUAGCUUGACACUGAACAUUGAGCCUUGAUGUGUAGGAUAGGUGGGAGGCUUUGAAGUGUGGACGCCAGUCUGCAUGGAGCCGACCUUGAAAUACCACCCUUUAAUGUUUGAUGUUCUAACGUUGACCCGUAAUCCGGGUUGCGGACAGUGUCUGGUGGGUAGUUUGACUGGGGCGGUCUCCUCCUAAAGAGUAACGGAGGAGCACGAAGGUUGGCUAAUCCUGGUCGGACAUCAGGAGGUUAGUGCAAUGGCAUAAGCCAGCUUGACUGCGAGCGUGACGGCGCGAGCAGGUGCGAAAGCAGGUCAUAGUGAUCCGGUGGUUCUGAAUGGAAGGGCCAUCGCUCAACGGAUAAAAGGUACUCCGGGGAUAACAGGCUGAUACCGCCCAAGAGUUCAUAUCGACGGCGGUGUUUGGCACCUCGAUGUCGGCUCAUCACAUCCUGGGGCUGAAGUAGGUCCCAAGGGUAUGGCUGUUCGCCAUUUAAAGUGGUACGCGAGCUGGGUUUAGAACGUCGUGAGACAGUUCGGUCCCUAUCUGCCGUGGGCGCUGGAGAACUGAGGGGGGCUGCUCCUAGUACGAGAGGACCGGAGUGGACGCAUCACUGGUGUUCGGGUUGUCAUGCCAAUGGCACUGCCCGGUAGCUAAAUGCGGAAGAGAUAAGUGCUGAAAGCAUCUAAGCACGAAACUUGCCCCGAGAUGAGUUCU
rnacentral:rRNA from 1 species